rnacentral:rRNA from 1 species
GACGAACGCUGGCGGCGUGCUUAACACAUGCAAGUCGAACGGAAAGGCCCUGCUUGCAGGGUGCUCGAGUGGCGAACGGGUGAGUAACACGUGGGUGAUCUGCCCCUUACUUUGGGAUAAGCCCGGGAAACUGGGUCUAAUACUGGUUAGGACCAUGCUGUAGGUGGUGUGGUGGAAAGAUUAGUUUCGGUAAGGGAUGAGCUCGCGGCCUAUCAGCUUGUUGGUGGGGUAAUGGCCUACCAAGGCGUCGACGGGUAGCCGGCCUGAGAGGGUGGACGGCCACAUUGGGACUGAGAUACGGCCCAGACUCCUACGGGAGGCAGCAGUGGGGAAUAUUGCACAAUGGGCGCAAGCCUGAUGCAGCGACGCCGCGUGGGGGAUGACGGCCUUCGGGUUGUAAACUCCUUUCAGCCAUGACGAAGCCCUUGUGGUGACGGUAGUGGUAGAAGAAGCACCGGCUAACUACGUG